rnacentral:sRNA from 1 species
ACAUGAUGCUAUUUUCUGACUGCUAUUAUAAGUACACUACUGUCAGCCGGGCGCGGUGGCUCACGCCUGUAAUCCCAGCACUUUGGGAGGCUGAGACAGGCGGAUCACGAGGUCAGGAGAUCAAGACCAUCCUGGCUAACACAGUGAAAGCCCAUCUCUACUAAAAAUACAAAAAAUUAGCUGGGCGUGGUGGUGGGCGCCUGUAGUCCUAGCUACUCGGGAGGCUGAGGCAGGAGAAUGGCGUGAACCUGGGAGGCGGAGCUUGCAGUGAGCCGAGGUCAUGCCACUGCACUCCAGCCUGGGCAACAGAGCGAGACUCCGUCUCAAAAAAAAAAAAAAAAAGAAAGAAUACCCACCUCAUGUCCAAAAAGUUGAAAUUAAUCCUGUAAGGUUAAGUCGGCUCCAAGGUGUUGAACGUAUAAUGAAGAAAACAGAAGAGUCCGAAUCACAAGUGGAGCCUGAAAUCAAGAGGAAAGUACAACAGAAACGGCACUGUAGUACCUAUCAGCCUACUCCUCCUCUAUCUCCUGCUUCAAAAAAAUGUUUAACCCAUUUAGAGGAUUUGCAAAGAAAUUGCAGACAAGCUAUUACUUUGA